UUUUUUUUUUUUUUGUCAACAUUAUCUCUCUUAAACCAUUUCUAAUGUCAUUGUGAGUUUCAAUUGCCAUUGUAGUCUCUCUAGUAGUAUAACUCAUGUGCAACUUUAAUUUAAUUUUUAUCUCCAUCUUCACUGGUGGAAGUGGUGCUUGUAUUUUGCACACAAUUCGGAAUUAAAUAUUAAUAAACCUUAAUUUUUUUUCAAAUACAAAAUAGAACAAGGGGAAACAAAAAUAAAUAAAUAAUAAAUAGAAAAUACCAAAUCUUUAAUCUUUUGCAAAUAUCAUUAUAGGUUUCUAAACCAAAUAUUUAACUGUGUUUUUGUUUUGUAUCUAUCAAUUUAUUAGUUUGAUUUUAAAUUUUUAAUAUUUACCAUUAGUUUAAUGAAAAAACUAAUUGUGACACUUUAAUUCAAACUAUAAAAGGAUUACGUAUAAAAUUUUAAACUAUAGGAUGUUAUAUGCUAAUGUUCCAAAUUACACGAGGAUACAAAGUAAUUUACCUUAUUAAUAAUGUUGUUCUUUUAAUAUUCCACCAAGUGAACUCUAGAGUCUGUGGCUUUCCAAGCCUGAUAAUUGUACAGAAGGAAUUUCAGAAUCGUGUAAUCCUAUGUAGAAAAUUUCCUCCCUUCAUAGUACAGGUCAGUUGUAUUACAGCAGAAAUGGAGACGAUGGGAAAGUAUGACUGCAUGAGUCUUGAUUUAAUUUUUUUCUUGGUUUGAAAGACAAUGGAAUCAUGUAUGGCAAAUGUAUAACUUAGCAGUAUAAUGUUUCUAAACCAAAGAAUAAAUGAAGACCAAAUAAAGAUAAAAUAGAAUUAAAGAAAAGAACACAACAAAUUGACAAACUAAUACUAAAUAGACGUUUAACUAUUAUACCCAAUCUUACGGUUUACACCUUGCUUCCCCUGUUUAUACAAAACCGGGAUAUUUUUAGUACUUUACCAUUUGAUAUCAUCUUAAAAUUUAUCACAUUUAUUUCUUUGACAGUUUUAACCUUCUGGCACUAAAAAACUAAAUUUGUAUGCCACAUUUAACCUGUUAGCUCCAAAAUAAUGUUCUCUCUUUUCUUUUCUUUUCUUUUCUUUUUUUACAGAGAAUUGCUAUAUUUAUAUAAGAGUAAAAUCUAAUGAACGAUUAUGUUUGAUGUCGAAAAAUAGCUUAUAUUUUUUUAGGAGAAGAAAAGGAAACAAUAAAGGGAAAAAUAAGGAAAAACUAAAAGAUAUAUUCUCCAGUUAAAAUAUUGAGUUUUAUUUCUAUCAAUUGAAUUUCCAUGAUUUUUUGUGAGUUACAAGUAUGAGGAAGCACGAGACAAAUUUGGCUAAGAUUAGAACUAUAAGCUAUAUUUUGAAUAAGAAGAAAAACAGUAAGUUGUAUUAGGUAUCUAGCUUAAUUAUUCAUGAGAUAUUACCCUUAUAAACGAAACAAUUCUCUGUAAAAUUUAAAAAAAAUUACAUAAUUUUAGAACCGCAAGGCUAAAUUUGGUAUACAAAUUUAGUUUUUUGGUGUCAGAAGGUAAAACUGUCAAAAAAAUAAAAAUAAGGGCAUUACAGUCUUUUCAUAAUUUUUAAGUGGCAAUUUGUGUAUUUUGUGAAUGAAGUGGGGUAAUUUACAACUGAAGUUAUAGCAUUACAAGGGGUAGUUCGGGGGCAAUUUUUGUCAUUUACAUUCUCAUUUUAUAAGAAAUUUAGUGUUUGUUUAUCUCUCAUCCCUACCAAAGAAAUUCAGAGAGAAAAAAAAAAUCAAUUGUUCCUUGAUAGGCUAUGGAUAGCUAUCAGUUUAAGUGCGUUUGAAUGGCAAGCUUUUGCGAGAACUUUUUAAUUCUUAAAAAGGAAAGAGGAAAGUAAAGGGAAGAGUUCAUAACCCUUGAACACGCACAAUCUUUUCCUGACGUAAAUGGAUGAAACUAAGGCUUAGUUUGGGAGUUUAUGAAGGAAGAGAAAAGAAAAGAAAAGAUAGCUUAGGAAAGAAAAGAAGAGAAGGGAAAAGAUGCAUAUUUCGUUUGGGAGUUUAAUGAAAGAAAAGAAAAGAAAUAUCUUUCUCUCAUUUGAGAGUUGGAGAGAUUUGGAAAGAAAGGAUUUUAUGAGAAUACAACUUUACAUAUUUGCCCUUUCUAUUUGCCCUUUCUAUUUGUUAAACUCUAAAUAACAAAAAUAUGAAAUAUAAUAUUUAAAUAUAUUUUAAUACACACAAGUUGGACGGGUAACUAGUGUGUCAGAGAGUUGCCAUAAUCUCCUUAAACCCGCAUGCGGGUUUAAAGAGUAUUCGGAUAUUCUCAUAUGCACCUAUGCAUAUCGAACCAACCGGAUAUCUUAUCCGUAUCCCAUUUUUUUAAAUAAAAAUCUUAUAAAUUUGAAAAAUAAAAUCAAAUUUAGAUGUAUUAGGGUUUUAAAAAUAUUAUAUAAGUGAUAAAAAUUUUAUAAAUUGUAAAAAUAAAAUCAAACUGCUUGGAUAAUUAAAUGUUAUAUUUGCAUAAGAAAUAAUACAAUAAUCAUAAUAAUGAUAAUACAAUAAUAUUGGUGUAAUAAAACUGCCAUUAAUUUAAAUAUUUACUUAUAAUGCCCAAAGAGCCUAAUUACCAAUUUUUUCUUCUCGCGCUCAAAUAUAACAUUAACCCGCAUGCGAGCUAACCUUGAAAUAGAAAAAACACAGAAUCCUGCUUGCGGGUUUCAACGUUAUUAUGCAGGCGGGAUUUUAACCUGCUUGCUUGUAAACAUGUUUGGAUCUUGAUAUAACAUGUUUGCUUGUAAACACAGAAUCCUUCAUGAUGCUUGGAUCUUUCUUCAUGCUUUUCCAAUUACACAAACUAUAUUUGUAGAAAAACACAUAACAAGAACAGAAUUUACAUCAAAAUAAAAGUUUUAGAUUAAUUCUAUUAUGAAUACAUGGUUUUAUAGAUCCAAAAACAUACAGAAUCUAUUAGACAAAAGAAGAUUCAUGUGGCAACUUGUAUUUAUAAACUCAUACUACUAAUAUAAGAGUACAAGUUAACAAAAUAAGGAUCACAUUUCAACUUAAACAAAAGAAAUCAGCAUCAAGUCAAGUUGUCAUAGUAUGUAAUCAUUCCACAUUUGCAUUGCUAUUUCAUUCCUUAAACUUUCUCCUUGAGCAUGAUCUUUUUCAGCACUUAUAUCUCCACUUUCCUCCUCCGAUGGAGAUUGAUU
rnacentral:lncRNA from 1 species